UCGUGAUGACUAGCGUAAAGAUGCUAGUAGCUGCAGUCAGACUUGAAGACCAGGGUUCACUCGUAAUUGCAUCUGAUACUGCAUGCUCGAGUACUGAUGAGGUGACUAGAAUACUCGUGUAGCAGUGAAAUGCGUAGAUAUCGAGAGGGAGUACUAACGGCGAAGGCAGGUCACUGGGCAGUUACUGACACUGAGGCACGAAGACCAGGGGAGCAAACGGGAUUAGAUACCCCGGUAGUCCUGGCAGUAAACGGUGCAUAUUUGGUGUGGGCGCAAUCGACCGCGUCCGCGCCGGAGCUAACGCGUUAAAUAUGCCGCCUGGGAAGUACGGUCGCAAGAUUAAAACUCAAAGAAAUUGACGGGGACCCGCACAAGCGGUGGAGUAUGUGGCUUAAUUCGAUGCAACGCGAAGAACCUUACCUGGUCUUGACAUGCAUUGUGUCUCCGGUGAAAGCCGGAUAGGGUAGCAAUACCCGCUUUGCACAGGUGCUGCAUGGCUGUCGUCAGCUCGUGUCGUGAGAUGUUGGGUUAAGUCCCGCAACGAGCGCAACCCCUGUGAUUUGUUGCCACCGGCUUAUGCCGAGCACUCGAAUCAGACUGCCUCGAUCAACGAGGAGGAAGGUGGGGAGGACGUCAAGUCCGUAUGGCCCUUACGACCAGGGCUGCACACGUACUACAAUGCCCAGUACAAUAUGAACCGAGACCGCGAGGUGGAGGAAAUCAAUAAAAAUGGGCUCAGUUCAGAUUGGAGUGUGCAACUCGACUCCAUGAAGCUGGAAUCGCUAGUAAUGGCGCAUCAGCUACGGCGCCGUGAAUACGUUCCCAGGCCUUGUACACACCGCCCGUCACAUCAUGAAAGCCGUCUGUACCCAAAGCCGCCGAGCUAACCGUAAGGAGGCAGGUGCCUAAGGUAUGGAUGGUGAUUGGGAUGAAGUCGUAACAAGGUAACC
rnacentral:rRNA from 1 species